AGGGCACCACCAGGAGUGGAGCCUGCGGCUUAAUUUGACUCAACACGGGGAAGCUUACCCGGUCCGGACACUUUGACGAUUGACAGAUUGGGAGCUCUUUCUUGAUAAAGUGGUUGGUGGUGCAUGGCCGUUCUUAGUUCGUGGAGUGAUUUGUCUGGUUAAUUCCGAUAACGAACGAGACUCUAGCUUACUAAAUAGCCUGGCCGGUCUCGACCGUCAGCCAGCAAAACAGUUGCUUCUUAGAAGGAUUUACGGCGUUUCAGUCAUAAGAAAGAGAGCAAUAACAGGUCUGUGAUGCCCUUAGAUGUCCGGGGCCGCACGCGCGCUACACUGGAGCCCACAGUGAGCGCCGCACGCUUGGGUCGAAACUGGCGCGAGGAAUCUCGUAAGCUUCUCCGUAUCUGGGAUCGCGGCAUGUAAUUGUGCCGCGUGAACGCGGAAUCCCCAGUAAGUGCCGAUCAUCAUUCCGCAUUGAUUACGUCCCUGCCCUUUGUACACACCGCCCGUCGCUACUACCGA
rnacentral:rRNA from 1 species